rfam:Neolentinus lepideus HHB14362 ss-1 unplaced genomic scaffold NEOLEscaffold_48, whole genome shotgun sequence.
GACACUAUAGCCAAGUGGUUACGGCGACAGAUUCGAAUUAUGCUAUUUUCCAUCUGUUGGGCUCUGCCCGCGUAGGUUCAAAUCCUGCUGGUGUCG